rnacentral:rRNA from 1 species
UACGAAGGGGGCGAGCGUUGUCCGGAAUUAUUGGGCGUAAAGAGCUUGUAGGCGGUUUGUCGCGUCUGCUGUGAAAUUUCGGGGCUCAACCCCGAACUUGCAGUGGGUACGGGCAGACUAGAGUGUGGUAGGGGAGACUGGAAUUCCUGGUGUAGCGGUGGAAUGCGCAGAUAUCAGGAGGAACACCGGUGGCGAAGGCGGGUCUCUGGGCAGCAUAUCGAUGCGCUGAGGCGCGAAGGCUAGGGGAGCGAACGGG